AGGGUUCAGUUCCCGGGCGCGGAACCACACCACUCGUCUGUCAGUAGCCACGCUGUGCUGGCAGCUCACAUAGGAGAACUAGAAGGACUUACAACUAGAAUAUACAAAUAUGUACUGGG